GUCCCGCCGCCGCCUGGCCGCGCUGGGGCGGGGUUCGGCCGCAGGCGCGCGACGGGAAGGGGCGCGGGGGUACGGAGGCGGCCCGAGGGGUCUCGCGAGCGGAGUCGAGCGCCACUCACCCGGCGCCAAACACCAGAACCGGGGCCGCCCUGCGCGAGACGACAAGCGACAGCGAAGAGCGUUAGGCUGUGGCCGGACAGUGGCGGCGCCGACACUUCCUGCCUGAAGGGGCGGAGCGGAAGGCGCACCGGAAGGCGCGGCGGGACCAAGUGGAACGGGGGUUUUGUUCUAGAUCGUGUUUGUGGCUGUGUUCUUCAGGAUAUUUUCCCUCAACUUGAGGAUUUCCCUCAUCUACCUUUCUUGGGGAGAUACAACUAAAACCAACAAAAGCCAAGUUUGGUAAAUAAGUUUAAACAAGUGCUUCUCUGUACAGCUCAUCCACUUCCUCAUCUGUAAACCGAUCCCCCAUGGUUGUCAGCAGCUCUCUCAAGUAAUCUUCCUGAAUGGUGCCUGGAGAAUAAAGAACAAGGAAUCAGAAUACAUAGUAUUCUGAGGGUUAAUUACAAAGAAUAUCUACACUCGACUAAGCAUGUUCUGUAUGCUACAAACUAUAAACAUGCAAAUAUAUGAACUACAGGGUGUCCCCCUACUUAAAACAGCCUCAGCAGAGAAGUGCCUAGAAAAAUGCCUAGCUGCUUAGCAGCAUUGCUCUGCGCUAUCAUUUGCUCUGUCAUUCUGCCUCCACAUUCAGCUUCUGAUCUCUUGCUAAGAGAGACUAAACCUAUGCCUAAACAAAGUAAUAAAAAGUAUGGUUAAAUAA